GACCGAUCGGUAGAGUUCGGCCUCACCCUCGGUGGGUGCGGGAAUCCGGUGCAAAUCCGGGACGGUCGCGCCACUGUGAGCGCCCCCUGCGGGCGCGAGUCAGACCUCCCCCACCGGACGAACUCUG
rnacentral:ncRNA from 2 species